AUUAAACGCUGGCGGCAUGCCUUACACAUGCAAGUCGAACGGCAGCACGGGGGCAACCCUGGUGGCGAGUGGCGGACGGGUGAGUAAAGCAUCGGAACGUAUCCUGGAGUGGGGGAUAACGUAGCGAAAGUUACGCUAAUACCGCAUAUUCUGUGAGCAGGAAAGCAGGGGAUCGCAAGACCUUGCGCUCUGGGAGCGGCCGAUGUCGGAUUAGCUAGUUGGUGGGUAAAGGCCUACCAAGGCGACGAUCCGUAGCGGGUCUGAGAGGAUGAUCCGCCACACUGGGACUGAGACACGGCCCAGACUCCUACGGGAGGCAGCAGUGGGGAAUUUGGACAAUGGGCGGAAGCCUGAUCCAGCCAUGCCGCGUGAGUGAAGAAGGCCUCGG
rnacentral:rRNA from 1 species